UGUAUCGUAGUGAAUUUUAAGAAAAAUUCAAUUAAAAAAAAAAAAUACGUAAACUAGGCCACUGAUAUGAAAUACGGAGAAGUUUAAUUGAGUCUUUACCGUGCAAAUUUUAGAAAAAAAAAUUUUUAAAAAUGUUCGUAUUUUUUCCGAGUCUUACGAGAAAGUCAGACCUUAAUAACUUUCUCGAAUUAUGGUAUUAACUACCGAUUAGAUAGGGUAAAAAAAAACUCAAAAGAAGGUUUUCGAAAUAUUCAGGUUUUAUUUUUUGCAAUAAAAUAUACAGGUUGCCGUGGAAUUUAUAGAGAAAUUAAAAUUAUAUAAUCACAGAAAAUUUUUAAGCAAUCUACAUUUAAAUGGCGUCAAAAUAUUUGGCAACGUUGCGAAGCGCGCAAGCUUCAGACCAUUCAAUAAAUUCAAACUAAUUUAUUUAUUAACACUGACUGCAAGAACUUAAACAUGGUUAAGGUUAUAUUGUGCAAAUGAAAAUGUAAACCGAAGUACAGCGUUGGCAAAUCACGGACAGACUUGACGUGUUCCUGAACAUUAGAAUUGGUUAAAUUCUAAUAUUAAAUUUUUCCCUCAAUUAUUAAUCUGCACAUCAUCAAGAAGUAUGUAAAUUGGGAAUAAUGUGCAGGUUUUUUUUGCAACGCCUGAUGAUGCUCUCCUAAAUUAAAGUAAAUUUAAAAACGGCCUGCCAUCUCGGUCACGCCGCCAUCGGCCAGAAGUUCAAUGAAACCGCCCAAGCGUCAAUCAACGGAGCGAGAAAAAAAAAAUAUAUAUAAUCAAAUGCAAGUGUAUGAGCUAAAUGAUUGCUGUUGAUGGUGUAGCAUUGUUUGGGCGACUUAUAGAAAUACGAGUUGGUGUAAUUGACCGGAAUAAAAAAUGACAAUCGCUACAAGAGGUCAGAGAGUAGGCAUAGAUCCACCGGAGAGCCAGCAGACGACACAGCUGGCACAAGUAACACAGAUUGAAGAAGAUGAUAUGCUAAAUCGAAGAAUAAGGAGCACUGAAACUGUAUUAAAAGAUAUUACGCGAAGAUUUGCUGAUGAGG